rnacentral:rRNA from 1 species
CCCUGGCGGGUGCUUACACAUGCAAGUCGAACGAUGAUGCCCAGCUUGCUGGGUGGAUUAGUGGCGAACGGGUGAGUAACACGUGAGUAACCUGCCCCUGACUCCGGGAUAAGCGUUGGAAACGACGUCUAAUACUGGAUAUGACUGCCGGCCGCAUGGUCUGGUGGUGGAAAGAUUUUUUGGUUGGGGAUGGACUCGCGGCCUAUCAGCUUGUUGGUGAGGUAAUGGCUCACCAAGGCGACGACGGGUAGCCGGCCUGAGAGGGUGACCGGCCACACUGGGACUGAGACACGGCCCAGACUCCUACGGGAGGCAGCAGUGGGGAAUAUUGCACAAUGGGCGAAAGCCUGAUGCAGCAACGCCGCGUGAGGGAUGACGGCCUUCGGGUUGUAAACCUCUUUUAGUAGGGAAGAAGCGAAAGUGACGGUACCUGCAGAAAAAGCACCGGCUAACUACGUGCCAGCAGCCGCGGUAAUACGUAGGGUGCAAGCGUUGUCCGGAAUUAUUGGGCGUAAAGAGCUCGUAGGCGGUUUGUCGCGUCUGCUGUGAAAUCCCGAGGCUCAACCUCGGGCUUGCAGUGGGUACGGGCAGACUAGAGUGCGGUAGGGGAGAUUGGAAUUCCUGGUGUAGCGGUGGAAUGCGCAGAUAUCAGGAGGAACACCGAUGGCGAAGGCAGAUCUCUGGGCCGUAACUGACGCUGAGGAGCGAAAGCAUGGGGAGCGAACAGGAUUAGAUACCCUGGUAGUCCAUGCCGUAAACGUUGGGCGCUAGAUGUAGGGACCUUUCCACGGUUUCUGUGUCGUAGCUAACGCAUUAAGCGCCCCGCCUGGGGAGUACGGCCGCAAGGCUAAAACUCAAAGGAAUUUGACGGGGGCCCGCACAAGCGGCGGAGCAUGCGGAUUAAUUCGAUGCAACGCGAAGAACCUUACCAAGGCUUGACAUACACCGGAAACGGCCAGAGAUGGUCGCCCCCUG